AUUGAACGCUGGCGGCAGGCCUAACACAUGCAAGUCGAACGAGGGGCGGAAGGGUGAGUAAUGUCUGGGAAACUGCCUGAUGGAGGGGGUAAACUACUGGAAACGGUAGCUAAUACCGCAUACCAUCAGAUGUGCCCAGAUGGGAUUAUCUUGUUGGUGGGGUAACGGCUCACCAAGGCGACGAGCCCUAGCUGGUCUGAGAGGAUGACCAGCCAAACUGUAACUGAGACACGGUCCAGACUCCUACGGGAGGCAGCAGUGGGGAAUAUUGCACAAUGGGCGCAAGCCUGAUGCAGCCAUGCCGCGUGUAUGAAGAAGGCCUUCGGGUUGUAAAGUACUUUCAGCGGGGAGGCGUUACCCGCAGAAGAAGCACCGGCUAACUCCGUGCCAGCAGCCGCGGUAAUAC
rnacentral:rRNA from 1 species